CAGUCGCCGCGGUAAUACAGAGGGUGCAAGCGUUAAUCGGAAUUACUGGGCGUAAAGGGCGCGUAGGUGGUUGCGUAAGUGAGAUGUGAAAUCCCCGGGCUUAACCUGGGACGUGCAUCUUAUACUGCGUAACUGGAGUGCAAGAGAGGGUAGUGGAAUUUCCGGUGUAGCAGUGAAAUGCGUAGAUAUCGGAAGGAACACCAGUGGCGAAGGCGGCUACCUGGCUUGACACUGACACUGAGGCGCGAAAGCGUGGGGAGCAAGCAGGAUUAGAUACCCGCGUAGUCCCUGUCUCUUAUCC
rnacentral:rRNA from 1 species